rnacentral:lncRNA from 1 species
CAAGACACGAGCAUUGUCACAUCAGAAAACCACCCAAUUCAUCUUCAUGGAUAUGACUUUUACAUUAUCGCACAAGGAUUUGGAAAUUAUAAUCCCCGAACAGACCCAUCAAAAUUUAACCUCGUUGAUCCACCUCUCAGAAACACAGUUGCAGUGCCUGUAAAUGGAUGGGCAGUCAUUAGAUUCGUAGCAGAUAAUCCAGGUAAAAAAUAUAAACACUCUGCAUUCAUCGUACAAUGAUGUCGAACCUUAGCUUCAAUUGAACUCCAAUCUAAAUUAAAUGUUUCCAACAUGUUUUAUUUUUUUGCAUAAAUAGGUGUUUGGCUAAUGCAUUGCCACUUGGAUGUUCACAUCACCUGGGGUCUUGCCACGGCUUUCUUGGUCGAGAAUGGAGUCGGAGAAUUGCAAUCCAUUGAGUCCCCUCCAGAAGAUCUGCCUCUAUGCUGAGAUCAGCAAUAGAAAGAAAAUAUACGUACCAGUUUGUUGAAAUUCAUAAGCCCGAUCGAUAACAUAAUGUUUCCAUGUGUUGUAGUCUUAGUUUCAUUGUUGGUUUGUUCUUUCCUUUCGAGUGAUAAAGCGAUUACAGGUGCUGCAGUUAGAAAAAUCGGUUCCAAAUUAUUUACCAAUACAAUGGCCAUGUUUCUUGAUUCUUGAUGCACGUAAUUCUUUUCCAUUAAUCAUUGUUGCAACAAAAUCUCACUUCUCCCUCUCUCACUCUCUCUUAUCUUUAAUUAUCUUUUGGACAGCUUCAAUACUCCCAUCCUGAUAAACAUGAGGGAUGUGAUUCAGAAUUUACUAAAUUUGAGGAGUAUUGAAAUCUAAAUUAUAGUUGCAAGAAGAUCCCUGCAAACUAUUUUUGUGCUUUUUAUCAAAUGCGAGUGUAUAAACUCCACUGAUCCAACAAUUGUGUCUUGUAGCAGACAUUGGAGACCGCCCAACUGAAGUCUCUCUCUCUCUCUCUCUCUCUCUCUCUCUCUCUCUCUCCAUAUAUAUAUAUAUAUAUAUAUUGGGGUUGAGCUCUGCUCAGCUACCUCAUUAACUAUCAUGAUUCAAAUAUCCUCAAGUCAAAUUUAAAAAAUAAAAUUGUCAUGAAUUUCCAACCGUAAAGUUAGAAAAAUAAAUUACCUAAAACAAAGAGUUACCUCACGUCUUCACCCCCUGUGUAAUCAACAAAUGGUUGAAUUCUGAAAAUUCUCAUGUGCAGAAUUGAGUACACACUAUUUUGUAGUUGUCUGGAAUUUCGUUUUAAAUGGUAUUUCAUUAAAAAAAAUUGUUUAAAAUUAAAUCUUUUUAUAUUUUUUGUAUUUUUUUUGUUAAAUUUAUAUCAAAAAUUAUUUUAAAAAAAAUAAAAAAAUCUGUUAUUUAAAUAUAUAUUUUUUUAAAAAAACCCUUUAAAAAACAACAUCUGUAAAGAGCAAGAUUAAUCUUAUAAUAAAUAGUUAAUUAUGACUUACUCUCUAUGGUUAGUCAAUUUCUAACCACUGGUGACUAGAUAUACCCCAACAUUCACUGUUCGAACUUAAUUACAGGUGCGUCAAUGACCAGAAAGGAAGUUUAAAAAGAGAGCCUUCCUAGAAAUCAGCGAGCUUUCGCUCCCUUUUUUUCCUGAAGUAUUUUUUCCUUGUUGCAUUGCAAUUAACCAGAGUUACUGAAGUAUAACUACAAACUUUUGUGUAAUUACUUACACAAAAGUUAAUUAUGACUUAGUCUCUAUGGUUUAAUGAAACUAGGUAAUUAGUCCAUGUUAUUUCAAUUUCUAACCACUAGUCACUGUAUAUACCCCCAACAUUCACUAACUGUAAUAAUAAUUGAUUUUUAAAAUAUAUUUUUAAAAAAAUUAUUUUUGACGUUAAUAUAUGAAAAUAUCAAAAAUAUUAAUUUGAAAUAAAAAUAAAUAGAUAAAAUUUUAAAAAAAUAUUUAUCUUAUCAAUAAAUUGAGCACUUGAUUAUAUGAUAGACUAAUUUGUUAUGAUUCAUUAAAGAAAAUCUAAUCUGUGUACUCAAAAGCUAUUUGAAAAUACUCAUAUCGUUAAAAUCAAAGAAAAUAAUAAAUGACCGAGUAAAUGCAUAGAGUUCGAAAUUUAAAAAGAGAGCCUUCCUAGAAAUCAGCGAAGUAUUUUUUUCCCAGUUGCAUUGCAAUUAAUUACUAUAAGUAAUAUUAUGAGACUGAAAUCAAUAAUAAGGUUGCUGUGGUGUAGUGGUUAUCACGUUAGUCUUACACACUAAAGGUCCCCAGUUCGAUCCUGGGCAGCAACAUUUUGAAUUUAAUCACAACUUUUUGCUUACAAAAUAGGCAGAAAAGAGAAGGGGCUAUAAAUAUCUAGGUUUCUAUUCUUGGAUUUUUCUCUUGUCCGGGUUUAAUUAAUUAAAUUAAUCUUACCUUACAGAGAAAUCAACGAUCGAGAAUCAUUAUAGAAAGUGGGUUGGGAUUGCUUCUGUCUCGGUGGGCACAAGCAGAGCUGGGUUUGGAAGUUUAUAGUCGCUUUACAAAAAGUGAUACGCAUAUCUUUGGUUGUUAAUGAAGAAAUGUCGGUGCACAUCGAUAUUGCUGGACAGAAGCAGUACUUGCACUUUGCAUUAGUGGGAUUCCCUGAUUUUGCUUCAUCGCUCUUGUCUGUUGGCAUGGCAUUGCAGCUUGGAUGUGAAAACUACCACUUAGUGCAAAGUGUUUAUGCAACAACAUUAUGCCAACCACUCUAGCUUUCCCUGUAGUUAUUGAAUGCCGUUAGAACUGUCUCUUGAAUUCGGCAAUGGGAUUCGAUUGGGACUUGACAUAAGGAUUUGUUGUGUAAAACAUGUUCGGUGCUAAAACUCCCUCUUAAAUUCCCUCUAGCACUUGAACAAUAAGUGCAAAAGGGUUUAUACAUUAUGUGCCUAGAGCACAUAACAACUAGUAGUUAAGGCCUCGGGGAGAGUGUGUUUGACGCCUUUGUUAGGCCUUUCUAGGGCUGUACUUGAGUCUUGCCCUAUUGUCCAUGUUCUUUGCAGCUUGCUAGGCCUAUAGAAUGGGUUCCUCGUAGUGUUUUCUAUUACAUGGGCACCACAUAGAGAACCCACCACAGUACAGACAGCUAAUUCUCGCGUGAAAACCAUGUGGGAUUAAUUGACUUGCAGGCAACUGUCUAUGUUAAUAAUUGCGCGCUUCAAGUUAAUUAAUGGUUUUACUUUUGCAAGAAGAUAUUAUUUAUGAACUUGGAACGUUUUAUUGUUCAAGUUUAAUGGUAAACCAUUCACAACCACCAUGGAAAUUGAAAACCCAAGAAAGCAAGGUCGACAACGUGCUCUUAAUUAAUAAUCAUAACACACAAGGACAUGGGAAGAAACCGAAGGAAAUAAAAGGGUGGUGAGAGACGAAGCACCAGAAAACAUUGACGAAUUAAGGAGGCGCCUGUGUUUUUGGAUCUUUUUUUAAAAAAAAAUUUCAUUUAUACGAUUAAUCGUGUUGCUUAUGACUUCGUAAUUGCCACUAACUAACAUCCCAAGACUCUCAACAGGUCAAUAACAAACUUUACCAAACAGGGCACCUUCCUUUUUCAAUCUUGUUCACCUAUCAAAAUCCUUAUCAAUCCCUUGUCUCUCUCGAUCGCUAGAUAUGCUUCCUUUCAAAGAGACUAAGCUCCUCCCAAUUGCCAUUGAUCAUGGAAUUCAAGAUCUCAAUAUUUCAUGAAAUCAUUGUUAGCAGAAGUUAAUUCUUUUUCUCUUAUAAUCAUUGAAGAGAAUGUGAAAAUUAAAAAAUACUCUUCAAGGAAUUACUCAUUUUACUAUUAUGGUGACAAAAACAAAACAUUUUAUUUCAUCUUGGCAUUUAAAUUGGAAACAAGAUUGUUUUGGAUGACAAAAAAUUACUAGAACUAACACUUUAAACAAUGGCGUAUAAUUGGGAAUACAACACGAAAUUAUGAGCUUGUUUAUUUUUGCGUUUUAAAAAUAUUUUUAAAAAAUUUUAAAUUUUUUAAAUUUUCCCGUUGCUUCAAAUAUUUGAUUUUUUUUGUAUUUUCAAAAUUUUUUAUAUAUAUCAUAGUUUUAAAACCCGGCCCGGCCCGGCGGGUUAACCCGGACCCGGCUAAUCCGGGGCUAGAACAGGGCCGAGUUUAUCAAAAAAUAAGGGAAGUCAAAAACUCGGCUGACCUGGCGACCUGGUUGACUCGGCAAGAGCCAGUCAAAAACCCGGUUGUAACCCAAUGACUAUUUUGUUUUUUACCCAAAACGAUGUCGUUUUGAUUUAUAAAAAAAACGGGUCGACCACCGGGCCGAGUUAAAAACACUGGUGUUGAUUUGAAAUGUGAAAAAUAAAUUUAAAAAAAAAUAUUAUUUCGAUAUAAAACACUUUAAAAAAAACAACUAAUAAAAUAUUAAAGGUAAGGUAAUUAUACCCACAUCGGAUCAAUCAAGCAAUGAUUUGCCAAAAUUGUUAAAAUUAAUAUAUAUCCUUUAAACCUAGAACCCAUGAUGUUGUUGCCACCAAUUAAUAUAUAGAUGUUUAGCCUGGUGAUGCACUCUCUUAGAAAAAGAGAGAAGCUGAGGUUUUGAGUUCAAAUACUGCUCUAGUUAUCUAAAAAAUUAAAAACAAAAUGUUAUCGUUACCAUUACCAUCUAGUUUUACUGACAAAAUCCCAAUUGUAAGUGAUUUAGAAUCAUCGAUCCACACUCGAAAAUCACCUCUCCUGAAUCACUUACUCCUUGAUAAAGAGUUAAAAUGAGUAUUUGUUAAUUAAAGUACGUGUCCUUUAAGCGUGAACUCUUAAGGUUAGUAAGCUUGUUGAUAUAUUUAAUUGAGCAUUCACCCAUCGAAGAAGUAGUUUUCGAGCAUCGCUCUCAACUUGUGUGCGGACCUUGUUUGCUAGCACAAAAGUUGGAGGCCUACAUCAGUACUAUCUUUAUUUGCAACGAGUUUGACCGCUUGUGCAUGGGUUAAUUAAUUAAUUUCUUUUGGUAUCGGGCGAUUGUGCUUGUCCUAAGAUAUGGAUGUUGAAAUCAUGAGCAUUACAAGAAGAAGAAGAAAGCAGGCGAGGUUGCAUUAAUUUCUGUACGUAAUAACCCAUUUGAUUAAAAAGAAUUGAAGGAUCAAAACCCUUCUUUUUGCCAACAGAAAUUAUGAAUGGUGGUGAUCUGUUGAGAUUCAACCAGAAAUUAACGAAAAGACUUGUGAAACAAGCAUUUGAGAAAUUAUCCAAUCUCGCUAUGCUAGUGGGUGCAACAACUCCCAUAGGAUUGAACUAAGUAUUGCCUUCAAAAUCAAACCACUCCCUAAAUCAAAACCUAAUCUGCCAACCUCAAACAACUUGUUCUGCUUCACGCUCAUCCUAUAUAAGGAGUUUUUUGACUCCCUUUCAUCACCACUCAUCUUAAUUAGCCAUCACUCGAAGACAUCAAGGCAGGCUAGCUUAAGAGAUAAAAUGGAGGUUAUCAAGUCUAUCUUUGCUGAUCGUCAUUGUUCUUUCUUCCUGGUCGUGCUGCUUCUAGCCUCAACAAUGUCAUUAGCGAUUGCAGAGAUCCACCACCAUGAUUUUGUUGUAUGUCCUAGUCUUAUUCUUUGGUUAUUUAAUGUAUCAUCUUCAAAUCAAUAAUCCUGAUCUCCAUCUUUCUCCUGGUGAACUUUUAUAUUUUAAUAUGGAACAGGUUCAAGCAACGAAAGUGAAGAGGCUGUGCAAAACCCACAAUAGCAUCACAGUCAAUGGGAUGUUCCCAGGGCCAACCCUGGAAGUGAAAAAUGGAGACACUCUAGUUGUAAAAGUUGUCAACAAAGCCCGAUACAACGUUACCAUUCACUGGUAAUCAACUGCAUGAGUCACACAUGCACGUGUGAUCGCAUUCCUACAAACACACAUGUUCCCGACAAAUCAUUACAUGGAGCAUGAGGCACAUAUAUAUACAAUGCAUUUUUUUUUUUAGUUUUUUACCAGUUGCCGUUCAAUUAUUCUAGUUGCAUGUUCGAAAUCACUGUUCAUCACACACCCAGCUCACGAACCAUUCCAACUCCACUAUUCUUUGGCACAUUGUCUAAUUAGCAAUUGACUUCAAAUCAUCAUAUUUUUUUAGGCAUGGUAUUAGGCAAAUGAGAACGGGCUGGGCAGAUGGGCCAGAAUUUGUGACACAAUGCCCGAUCAGACCAGGUGGGAGUUAUACCUACAGGUUUAAUAUUGAAGGACAAGAAGGGACACUUUGGUGGCAUGCUCAUAGCUCUUGGCUUAGAGCCACCGUUUAUGGUGCUCUAAUUAUCCAUCCAAGAGAAGGAUCCUCGUAUCCGUUCGCUAAGCCAAAGCGUGAAACACCCAUACUUCUUGGUAAUUAUCCAUCAUUAAUUUCCUCCCAAAUUCCUUAACCAUAAUUACUAGAUUCCCUUAAUUAUUAACUUAGCUUCAAAACAAAUGUUUGUGUGUUCCAACUGUUGAUUCUAACUAACCAUGAUGAUCAGGCGAAUGGUGGGAUGCGAAUCCCGUUGAUGUGGUGAGGGAGGCAACUAGAACUGGAGCAGCUCCAAAUAUAUCUGAUGCAUAUACCAUUAAUGGUCAACCUGGUGAUCUUUAUAAUUGUUCCAGCGAAGGUAAUUAACCAUCUGUAUACUUACAGUCAGCACUACAGUAGGAAAACCCGUAUAUAACCUGCUGAACUAUCUUGUGAUCGUGAACUGUAUCGAAAGAGCCCAGUCACAAUAACUUAGCUUCAUGCCCAGAUGGGGCUUUUUUUUUUAGUCUGGUUGGUAGCUGUUCCAAAAUUAGCUUCAACAUGUAUAUAAAGGCUUUAAGAAAAUAUUGCAAAUUAACUGUAGCAAUCAAAUAAUUAUUAGUAGGCUGGAGCCCAGGAAGUAUCCUAUAGCCCAAUAGACUGCUUGGGAGACCCAUUCCAAGACUUGAUCUAGUUUAUGUAUUUCAUAAAAGAUGAUCUCAAAGAACUGAUAUUGUUGCAGAUACUACCAUCGUUCCGAUCGCCUCUGGUGAGACAAACCUCCUUCGAGUCAUCAAUGCUGCACUCAAUCAACCGCUUUUCUUCACAAUAGCCAAUCACAAGUUCACAGUUAUUGGUGCUGAUGCCUCUUAUCUUAAACCCUUUACUACCUCGGUCAUAAUGCUAGGACCAGGCCAAACCACUGAUGUUUUGAUCUCAGGCGACCAACUACCUGGCCGAUAUUACAUGGCAGCUCGAGCUUAUCAGAGUGCGCAAAAUGCACCAUUUGACAAUACUACAACCACUGCCAUUCUUGAAUACAAAUCUGCCCUUUGCCCUGCUAAGUGUACAACAAAACCAGUUAUGCCUCGACUUCCAGCUUAUAACGACACAGCUACAGUUACAGCAUUCAGUGGAAGCCUUAGAAGCCCUCGAAAAGUCGAGGUCCCAACAGAUAUUGACGAGAACCUCUUCUUCACAAUUGGUCUAGGGCUUAACAACUGUCCUAAAAAUUCCAGAGCUAGGCGGUGUCAAGGACCCAACGGCACUCGCUUCACCGCUAGCAUGAACAAUGUUUCUUUUGUGUUUCCUUCAAACAUUGCGUUACUGCAGGCGUAUCAGCAAAAAGUUCCUGGAAUUUACACCACUGACUUUCCAGCAAAACCACCAGUAAAGUUUGAUUACACUGGUAAUGUGAGUCGUUCCCUCUUUCAGCCUGUUCGUGGAACUAAGCUGUACAAGUUGAAGUACGGAUCAAGGGUGCAGAUUGUGUUGCAGGACACGAGCAUUGUCACACCAGAAAACCACCCAAUCCAUCUUCAUGGAUACGACUUCUACAUCAUUGCAGAAGGAUUUGGAAAUUUCAAUCCCAAAACUCAUAAAUCUAAAUUUAAUCUUGUGGAUCCACCAAUGAGGAAUACAGUUGCAGUGCCUUCGAAUGGAUGGGCAGUCAUUAGAUUUGUUGCUGACAAUCCAGGUAAUUUAAAGUUAAUCUAGAGUCGAUCCAUGAUCUGCUUCAAUUUUUCAUUUGAACAUUAAACUCAUCAACUUGUUUUUGUCAUGAUUGAACAGGUGUGUGGCUAAUGCACUGUCACUUGGAUGUUCACAUCACAUGGGGUUUGGCCAUGGCUUUCUUGGUAGAGGAUGGGAUUGGGGAAUUACAGAGUGUAGAGCCUCCUCCAGCAGAUCUGCCGAUAUGUUAAUUAUGAUCGAAACAUAAAAGAAGAUUUUACCCAUUGUUGACAUUCUUCAGAAGACAACAGCUAUAGGAUUUUCUUUCCUUCCUUCUCUGGUUGUUGUAUUCAAUUCCAUGUGUUGUUCUUCCCUACAUUUGGGGACAUAGCUCAAUAUUGUAUUUUUCCUCUCUUUUAUUGAUAGAUAAUAGGCGGGUAUACAAGAGAUGGUGCCUUUGAAACAAGAGUCGCCAUCUCAUGUUAGUGACUGACCUGCUUGUUUCUUGAUUUUAGAGCUAUUCUUCUCUCUUCGUUAAUAAUACAAUCAUACUUUAUGAAUACUCUGCUUUGACAUGUUGAGUUUUGAACAUUGCAAUGAUCAAAUAUAUAAUCCUGGUUAACUGGAUUAAUUCGUAGCAUAUUAUAUCGGGAUAAAAAAAAAUUAAAUAUAAAAAAAAACCAAAACUAAAUCAAUAAAAAAAACUUGCUGAAUAUAAUAAAAUUAAUUGACAUGUUAAGGAUAAUCCCAUGUUAUAAAUAGCAAUUUUCUUUUUGUAGAGAAACGUGUGGUCCUUAGCCAUUUCAAGUGACCCCUCGGCUUUUCAAAGGGCUCCUCUCUUGCCAAGGUCAGUGGUGAUGACAUCAACGGCUACAAUACAUGUCAUAUACCCACGGGACAUGAUUGGCUCCGUGGUAUUUUGACACGUGGUAUACAUGCACUAUAAAGGGAACAUGCUACCUGGGUUCCACUGCAGAUGUACACGUUUUGAUUUUCCAUUAGCCAUCAAAUUUAGUACUCUGGAAGUACUCCACUAACUAAAGGUUUUUUUAAAAAAAUAAAAAUAUAUUAAAAUAAUAUUUUUUAAAAUUUAUUUAUUUUUAAUAUUAGCAAGAUCAUCAAAAACAUUUUAAAAAUAUUAGUUUUAUAUUUUUUGAUGUAAAAAAUAAUUUAAAAAAUAUAUUAAAUAGCACAGUUAAACAUAAAAUAAAAAAUAUUAGGAUAUAUUUUUUGACUGGUGGGAAUUAAUCUUGUUUGUCAAUAUGUAACAAUCUGUUUGUUUUAUUUCUCUAGAAUGAUAUUUGCAUAAUUCUUAAAUCCUAUACGUUUAGAUUUUGGGUCAAUUAAUUCAAGAGUUUAUUUACCUUAUUUUAGUACACGGAACUCACGAACAAAUUGGAAGCCUUCAAAAAAGAGAGAUGGAGUAAAUUAGUUAGAAAUGGCAAAAAUGAAAUUUCAAAGAAACAGAGGAAGAAGGUAAAUAGAAAGAGGCCUGGAGAGGGGAAUUCCUUCGGUGCCAAGUAAAGACGAGAGCCAGCCUAGGUUCGGGACGGUCGGGUUUCCAGGUGUCAUUAGAUUAGGAACGAAGCGCCACUAGUGAAAUCCAAACCGACACGUCAUAAAAAAAUUGAAUUCCAGAAAUAUCCAGGGAAAGGCUAUAAUUAUCCCGGUACCCUCGUUUUUCUAAAGAUUUCUCGAUUGUUAGAAGCUGUGCGUGACCUCUUUGUUACUUUAGAAACUCUCCCCUCUCUCAAAACAGAACAAAUACAAACAAAAAACCAACGCGGGACAGCAAAGUCGAAGACAGAAAUUUAAGUGAUUCGUGUAAGAUUUUGAUUUCUUGAAGCGAAUUUCUUUGCAGGUUAGUUAGUUAAUCUCAGCUUAGAGUUUUUGAAACUUUUGUUUCUAGCUCAUUUUUUGUUUCUAGGGUCUGAUCGAUCAAAUUGGGUAACUAGGUAUUGUUUAACUGGUGAAAUUUCUCUUUCCGGGUUAGGGUUUCAAAUUGGGGGUUAUUAUAAUUGGAGUAAAUUUUGUGACUAAAAACCCAAUUGGCAAAUUGAGGUGUUACAGAAUUAGUUUUCUGUUUGUGGAGUGGUAAAUUCUUCCGCUAGAAAUUAGAUUUUCUUUGUUAAUUUUUUUUGGGUCUGUUAAAUUUUCGUACCUUUGGAAUUUAUUAAUUUACUUAAUGGCCAAGAUAAAUAUUUCCGUGGUGAGCAAUAAUGGUGACUCUUUUAAGGGAUUUAACUGAUAAGAGGUUUAUUACUUGUUAGUUAAGGAAAAAACUCCUGUCCAGAACUGGAAAGUAAAUAGGACAAAAUAGAGCAAACUUGGGGAGCAAGUAAUUUUGCUGUCCUGACAGGAUAAGGAUUAGUUGGUUCUGUCUAUAUAUAUAUCAAACAUUAGCUGUCACUGUUUGGAGAAUUUGAGAUUUGUUAUUUUUCCUGUGUUUCUCCUGCUCAAGUUUUUGAGUAGUGGUACUUAAUUUUACUUGUCUAUCUGCUGCAGAUUCUGAAACUCUUGUAGUUUGGCUGUACUGGGAUCAAAAUUGUUGGGUUCUGAGAUUGAGAAAAUGGGUACUCUUGAUCAAUAUUCUAAAGCUACUUCUAUGCCUACGGAUCCUACUAAGAAGAGGAAAAGGGUAAUCAAUAAAUCUGUAGCCGAGACCCUUAAAAAGUGGAAGGAGUAUAAUGAGUAUCUUGAUUCUCAAGGUGAUGGAGGUAAUAAACCAGUUCGUAAAGUUCCUGCCAAGGGCUCAAAGAAGGGGUGUAUGAAAGGUAAAGGAGGACCAGAGAAUUCAGUCUGCAAUUACAGAGGAGUGAGACAGAGGACAUGGGGGAAGUGGGUUGCUGAGAUUCGGGAACCAAACAGAGGCCCUAGGCUAUGGCUUGGUACUUUUCCUACUGCCUACGAAGCUGCUCUUGCCUAUGAUGAAGCUGCACGAGCUAUGUAUGGCCCGUAUGCUCGUUUAAAUGUUCCUGAUGUGCUGAAUUCAACAAGCUCAUCGAAGGACAACUUCUCCUCAGCGACACCAUCUUGCUAUUCUCCAGCAGCGAGUUCUGCGGACUCUGCUACUACAUCAACCCACUCUGAGGUCUGCGUGUAUGAGGAUCCUAAGCAGAAUGUAUACAGCCAAGCUGAGGUUUGUGGGAAGGAUGUAUCUAGCCAAGCUGAGGUUCUUGCGCAUCAUAUAUCAAGCCAACAACAUAUUGAGGAUGGUUCGCAGGGAGUUGAAAAUAGCACGCUGAGGGACGAGCAGAAGAGUCAAUCAGAAAAUCCUUUGUGGACUCCAUCAGAAAAUUCCUUGUGGACCAAUGACUGGCACAACUACUCGAUGGAUGAAAUAUUUAGCUUUGAUGAGUUGCUAGGGGGUAUUGAUGCGGGGAUGAUGGGGGCAGAAGGGUACUUCAACUUGGGAUUUUGAUAGCUCUGUAGCGCUUUCUCGAGGAAGCUAUUGCUUGCGCUUUGUGCUGGCUGAAGGGUUUAUAAAUUUUAAUGUAAAACUGGUUUCUUAGUCGCUUGCUUUGCAUUUUGCAAACUAGAAGUCCAAUUUGAAAAGAAAUUGUCAAUUAUUAACUGAUGUUAGGAAACAAACUAGAGUUAUUGAUCUUUUACUAUUUAGUUGGUGGGCAUUGCGAAGUUUUCGCAUGGUUUAGAAGGGAUUAAUUUGUGUAGGGCUAAUUAAAAUUUGCAAAUUGCAAUUUGUAGUGUUUGUUGAUCUUAUCUACCUUGUCAGUGCCCAAAGUGAGCGUUUUAUUGGCUCAAAGCGCCAGAAGUCAAGAGGAGGGCGACAACCCUUGAAAAAACAUGUUGAUUUUAUUUCAACCGAGUGUUUUCUUUUUUUAAUAACUUUAUUUAUUUUAGAUUGUUUUGAAAAGCAAUUAGUACUGUUACACGUUCUUUGCUCUGGUCUCGAAAACUUGGCUUCUCUACUGACAGCACACCUCCUCUCCUUGUUUAGGUUUCGUUAUUGGACACAAUCCUGUGAUUUUUAGUUUUUCACCAUGGCCUGUGGCUAGAGUAUUUUUUACUCUAGCAUGCUAAAAUAAAAAUGGAUAAAAUAACAUGGUAAAAAAAAAUUAGAAAAAUAUUGAUUAGAGAUUUGCAUAUGAUAUAUGUUAUUAGCAUUAUUUGAAACUCUUUUGAAUUGUAAAAUUAAACACAUGAUUUAAUUAGGAUAGAGAAAAAAAAUGAGGAGAAAAGAAAAAAAUAUUAAAGGUAUAUUGAAACUCCGAUAAUGACAUUAUCGAUAUCGUUAUAAAUAUAUUGAUGAGAUGAAUUCAAUGACAUAAAAAAAUAUCAUCAAUGAUCAUCAAAGAAAAAAGAUAUCGCUCAUGUGACUCAUUGUGAUCAUAAUUGGUGACUUUUUUUUUGUGUUGUUGGAUUCGUCUCGUUGAUAUAUCUCGAACGAUAACAAUGGUGUCAUCGUUAAAGUUUCGAUGUGCUAUGUCUUCUCUCCCCUAAUCAAAUCAUGUAUUUAAAAUUUUACAAUUUAAAGGAGUCUAGAAUGAUACUAUCAACUUGCAAAUCACAAAUAUCAUCUACAAAAAUUAAAAUAUCAUCUAGAAUUCUCUAAACAAUACUAAUUUUUAAAUAUUUUUUAUACUGUAUUAUUUUAUUUAAAAAAAUGCUAUAAACCCAAAAAAACUCUCUGUGGCUAGCCACCGACAUUAUCCUUACGACAAAACUAUUAUCGAUAUUCUUUUUUUUUUAUUCGAGAAAACUCUAUCCUUCAAAAAACACACUUUGUGGGCCUAAAUGAGCGAGUAAAACUCAGGUUGUCCCGGGCUCUUACAAGAGAUGCACGCCCUGACUCGAACUCGAGACCUGUUAUACAUAUCUCAAGCCCUUUACCUUCACGUUACGCCACUUCAAAACCUUUAUUACUUUUUUCGGUUCUCUCUCGGUAUCUGUCAUCUUUAAAAAAAACUAAGGAGAGUUAAAAGAAGAGCCAGAUUAGUUUUCUUUUCCUUUUUUUUUUUCUUUUUCCGGUCUGGAGAUAGCGGAAGAGCAUCUUGAAUUAACAGACGGGAAUCCGAUCAAAUGAAUUAAAGGAAGGGGAUUUUACAGCGUUAAUGGAAAAAAUGAAAUGAAGAGUCAAAAUGGUUUUUUUUUUUUGUUAAAAAAAACUUUCUUACAUAUUUAUCAGAAGAAAAAAAUACGAAAAAAUUAUUGAAAAAAUUAUUUUUUCAUCUUUUCUUGUUUUUCAAAAAAAAAAACUGAAAGUAUUAUUAUUAAAAUACAAAUAGUUUGUUAAAAUGUUUUUUUCCACUUAAAUAAACAUGAUAAAAUAAUUAAAUUUACAUUAUUCAAAGAAUUAUAUCAACAACUUAGUUUUUUCUUAAUAACUUUUGCCAUCGAAGAUUCUCUAGAUAAUGGCCUUAUUUCAAUUGAAUAACAACUCACCAUCCACUUCAUGUCAUACAGGAAAAAAUAACGAAUCAUUUUUAUUUUUUUUUGUUAAAACUUGUUAUUUUCUGCAACUAUUUUGUCUAAACUUUAAUGUUUAAUUUUGAAUUAUUUGAUUUGAUUUUAGAUGUUUAAACCUAUAGCGGUGCAUUAAAAAUUAAAAAAUUUCAUUUUGUAUAUAAAAAAGAAAUUAACUCAAUUUAGUGCAAUCCAUUAAGAUUUUAUAGAUUAAUUAGGAUGAACUUAAUUUAUUUUUUUAUUUGAAUUUAUCUAAUUAACAACGUAGAAGAAUUUUUCUACUAAUUUAAUUUAAAUUUCAGGUUAAUUAAAGUAUCAAAUAAAAAAAUUAAUUUAAAUUAUUAUAUUAAAUUUAAUUAUAAUAUUAAAAAAAAUUAAAGAUACAAAUAUUAGUUUUUUAGAUCAUUUUUUCCCCAUUUGUUUUUUGUUUGCUGGAAAGUAAUUUCAUUUUGGAAAGUGAAUUCCGGGAAAAUGAAUUCCAGGAAAGUGAAUUAUUUUCCGAUGUGUUGGUAGUGUAAUGAAAAAUUAGUUGGAAAACAUUUUCCAAUGUUUGGUUAUGUCAUGGAAAAUGAGCUGAAAAAUAACUUAUUAAUAUUUUAUUUUUUUCAAGUUUAUUAAAAUAAUAAGGAACAAAUCUUAUAAAUUAAAAAUUUAAAUGAGAAUGAAAUUGAAAAAAAAUAUAAUUUCAUAAAUUAUCUCAAAUAAAAUAAAUAAUAAUCAAAAUAAUAGAGAUCAAAUCUAAAAAAUAAAAAAAAUUAAAAGAUGAAGAAAUUAAAAUAAUAAUAAUUAAUAUUUCAUAAAUUAUUUCAAAUAAAAUAAGUAACAAUCAAAAGAAUGAGGACCAAAUUUGAUAGAUAAAAAAUUUUAAUUAAAAAAUAAUAAGGGAAAAGCAAAUAACAAUUAUAAAGAUAAGAAUGAAAAUUAAUAUAAAAAUAAAAUUCUAAGGAAUGAAAUUGAAAAACAAAUAUUCAAAACAAAAUAUAUAUAACAAUCAAAAGUUUAAGGACCAAAUUUGAUAUAAUCAGCAAAUAAUAUAACAUUUCUAAAUUUUUCACAACUUCCGGAAAAUAUUUUCUGUUCAAAAUAAAAGAAAAACACUUUUCUAGAAAUCAAGCUAAAUUUUUCUUUAGCUGAAAAAUAUUUUUCGUUAACCAGAAAGUAUUUUUUGUUUACUAACUUUUCCAAUACCAAACAAAUAUAAAAAAAUUUAAAAAAUAAUUUUUUAAAACCAUUCCAAAAUAUAAACACAUCCUAAUCCAAACCGUAACCAUAACUAUAGCGCGGUCAUUAAACCCGAAACAGACUAAACCUAUGAAUUUACUGCCAAACAGGGCAACAGCUCCGCCACGAACAGACACCUAUGAUUUUACUCAGUGACUCAGAACACUUGUAGAAUUCCUCGCCUCUCUCUCUCUCUCUCUCUUUUUAUUAAGGUGGAUAUUCAAGCCGGCUUGCGCGCAUCUCUUUCUUUCAAUAACUACUCUAUUGGUGAACUCUAUUUUAAUGGCUCAGUCUCUUUCUCGAUGGAGACCUAUCCGGAAUCUACUCUUCUCCACCACAACUCACCUGAAUUUGCUUUUUAUCAGAUACCCAGAAGUUCUUUUCAGGUAUAUUUGCUUCAAUAUAAUAACUUAUGCCCCCCCCCCCCCCGUUUUUUUUCCUUUCUUGUUUGUUGUGGCAUGUUCACCGGGUUCUAGAGACAACCGGCCGCUCUGUUUUCCUCUCCGAUGUAGAACUGAUGCUGACUAGGGGUUUGACUGGUUCAAGCUUGAGUUUUUCUAAGAAUUUAUUUUUUUGGUUGAUCAAUUUUUGCAUUUUUUGAUGGGUCCGCUCGAGGCAUGCAUUAUUUGGUUCAUUCCACCAAACCAAUCACACUAUCUUGUUUUACCACGCCAAACCGUUAUAAACCGCGGGGUUUAUUGCAUCAACCAAGUAGGCAUUGUUUUGGUUCACCUGGAAAUGAUAGCACCAGACUGAAUUCUAUUUAUGACCAUAUUGAUGGUAUGAUUUCCAUGGGACUUGUCAGUGCACACCUGUUUAGCCUAGUGGAAAAGGGCAAGCCCGUGAUGAGCUGUUGAGGCUCAAAUCUAUAGUCUGAAUCUCAUUUAUGCAGCCUGGAUUAUUGCCGUGCGGCUAAGAGGCCUGUUCACUCACUUGGAAUUUAACGGUAAACGCCUCUUGCAUCAAAUCAAAUUAGUAAAUAAAGAAAAGCUACUUUGAUGGAAUUUCAUGUAGUUCACGCGUUCAAAGUUGAAUGCAUCUCCUUGAGUAUAUGUUGCAGCAGUCAUUUUUUUUUUAUCUAUUAUUUCAGCUUUCAGGGUUUAUUGAAGAAAAUUGGCUUCUCCACUGAUUAACAAUGAAGAGAAAGCAUUUACAUCAGUCCAAGCACCCAUAUAAUGCACACCGUAAGCAUUACCUCCUUAAUUCCCUCCUCUUCUCUUGCUUGUUUAUUCCUGAUGUUUUUCUUAUGUUUAUUCUGGAGUGAGCCCCAACAACUAGGUAUAAGCCUUUGUUGUUUCUGAGCAAUAGUCUGUGCUAAUAUAGGUUCACGUAUUACUUGUCAUGAGUUGUUGGCAUGUGGAAGUUAUAUAAGCAUUUAUGUAUAUUUUUCACAGCUAAAUUGUCCGAGCCCCUGAAUGUUCAAGCAAAGAUGGGAUUGUCAAAAAGACAAAUUGAUGGUGAAACCGUUAAAUCCUGAUAUUUUUUAAUCUUCAAAAUCAAUUGUUGUUGCCAUUUAUGCAGUACGGAAUUCAACUGAAGCCACUAUCUGUGCAUUCGAUUGUAAAGAGCAUCCUAAUUUAAGUUGUUGAAAGCAUGAAUAAUUUCAUUUUUCAAAUGGCUAUGGAUUCCUGAAAUAUUUUAUAGAAUUGUAUAUGCACCAGACAUUGUGAUAAAUAUCUUUUUAAUAUUGUUUUAUUGAUGUUCCAUUUGAUAGCUUUUGAGGCCUUAUACGGCGGCUCUUGGCAAAGCGUGGAGCUCAUAGAAAUCAGGGAUGGGGCUAUGACUCUGCAUUUUGCCGAUAGUCAUCAUAGAAUUGAGGAGAAGGGUCCUUUCUCAAACAUUCGAGUGAAGUCGAGGAAGUCAACUUUAUCUGAUUGCACCUGCUUUCUGAGGCCUGGUAUUGAUGUUUGUGUGCUUUCAUUCUCUGAACGUGCAAAGAGUUCAGAGGAAGGAAAUUCAGAACCUGUGAGUGACCUCAUCAUGUCACUGCAUUACGGAAAGCUCUGUAACUUUGAAAGGAUUGUGGAUGGUGGACACUUAUUACAAUCUCGCUUAUUGAAUUUUUCAAACUAUUUUCUUUCUUAAAACAUCACAAGACUUUAACAUGCUUAAAAAAAUUCUUAUGGCCUAAUAAAUACACAUCGUAAUGCACAAAACAUUGAGUUGCUUCCUAUAAUAUAUACCACUAUCAGCAACGCAACACAUAAUCAAUUUUGCUGCUUGAAAGAGCUGUCAUUAAACUUUGCAGCAUAGUUAAAUUUCAAAAGUUAUGGUACUCGUAUUUGAAGUUGAUUUCAAUUCUCUUUCUCAUGCAGGUGUGGGUUGAUGCUAGGAUAAAUUCUAUCAAGCGGAAACCUCAUGAAUCUCAGUGCUCAUGCCAAUUUUUUGUUAACCUCUAUGUCAACCAAGGUCCUCUUGGUUCGGAGAGAGCAACACUCAGUAAAGAAACUGAAGCAGUAGGAAUCGACCAAAUUUCCAUCCUUCAGAAGCUUGACAAUGAUCCAUGUGAAGCAGACAACAAUAGACAUGAAACUCAGUUCUACCGUUGGGAAUUCUGUGAGGACUGUUCUUUAGUGCAAAGAAGUAAACUCUUUUUGGGAAAAAAUUUUAGCUGAUCUUACAUGGCUGCUUGCAGCCUCCAUUCCGAAGCAAGUUGCAUUUGAUGUAAGAUCAGUACAAAAUAAAAUUGCCUACCAAAUUUUUGGUGGUGAUGAUGAUCACUGUUCACUAAAAUCUAAUAAUCACAUAAACUGUGUAACUUUCAAAGUAGAAGACGGUAUUUCAACCCCUUUUGUGGUCCAGUUGGAUCCCAUUGAUACUUGUAGUGAGCGAGGCCCUAUCAGUGACACAAAUGGGACUGAAAAACCACCAUGCUAUGAUGUUAUGAACUUGCGGCGGUCAAAGCGUUGAAACGUACAACCCGAUCGUUUUCUUGCCUGAGAUACUCCUGCAGAGACAGAAAUUGGCUGGGUUAGAUCCCUGCCAUACACACCACUGAAGUGGAAGGAAGAAGAAGAGUUGCACUUACCAUUAGCAUACCUGUUUGGUACACAUGCAGAUGCAAGUUGUGCAGAAGAGAAACCUGGCAAUGAAGUGCGAGUUAAUUCUCCUAAACUAGAAUUCUUGGAAGGUCCCCCUGUUUCCAGAACCAAGACCAACUCAAGGAAGAUUAAAUCAAAUGUGUUUAACCGAAGAGAACACCAAGCUGAGCUUGGAGAGGUUGAAUCAGGUAUAGAUAACAGAAGGGAGCGCCAAAAAUCCACUGUGGCUAACAGAAUAAAACACCAAACUCGACUUGGGGAAGCUAAAUCAGGCAUGGCUAACAGAAAAAAGCACGGAACCCAAAUUAGGGAGGUUAAAUUGGGUGUGGCUAACAGAAUAGAACACCAAGAUCAACUUGCUAUUGUUCCUGUGCCAACUGAAGAUGAUCUGGUUACCUUUGAACAAUAUGAUUCCCCUUUGAAGACUCCUGAUAAUUUUCCACAAGAGUGUAUUGAAUUUCCAAUCCGUUCUUAUAGCAAAAAGGGUUAUUCUGUACAAAGGAAGAAUGAUUUCGAUGAAGAUAUGAUGUUUGGAAGUGGAUGGGGUGGAAAAUCUUCUAGGAAGAAAGUUCAAAGAGCAAGAUACCAAUCCACACAUUUAAAGAGGGAUGAUUCCUGUAAGCCAAAGACUUACAAGCAGACAGCCUUAAGCGCAGGUGCAUACGAUAAACUCAUAAGUUUUUAUAUGAAGAACUUUGAUUCCACAAUCAAGUCAAAGGAGGUAACGCGCAUUAUUGACCAGUGGGAGGAGUUUAAAGCCAAACACAGCUCAGAUCAGAAGGAGACAAUGGAACCUUCUUUGGUUGAGGAUGAUGGAGAAAGCUCAGAAACUGAAAUGUUGUGGAGAGAAAUGGAACUAUGCCUGACAUCAGCCUAUAUUUUUGAAGAUAAUGAAGUAUAACUGUUAAUUUGAUUUGAUAGGUGCCUUAUUUUCAUAUAUUCAUAUCCUUGUACCACAUAUUUUUCUUUAUCACCUUUUCUGAUUGGUUCAAUGAUUUUCAGUCUCGAGUUUCCACUCAGACCACACAGAACUCGAGUGAAUGUUGCCAGCAUGAAUUCAAACUGGAUGAAGAAAUUGGGAUAUUAUGCCAUAAAUGCAGCUUCGUGAAAACUGAAAAAAAAUAUGUUUCAGCACCAUUUGUAAGUCAAAUUUUUGAAACCCAUGAUGCAGGUAUUUUCAGUUUUUCUGCUCUCUUUUAUGUCCCCUCUGGAUAGACAAGUGAGUAUGCAGGGGAGGCACUUUUUAUUUGUAAUAAGGGGAUACUCUGCAAGGAAUCCUAUUGCACACUUGUUUAAUGUAUGCAAAAUUUCACCUCUGUAGAUUUUGGUUGGUCCUUGCCGCAGUUUCCUAGGUGGUUCAAACAGAAUUCUAAUUAUUCUAUGUAUGUUUUUGUUUCUGUAGAUGGAACGCACAAGCCAGACUGCAGAAAGUAAGCCACGGGAUGAAGAAGAUUCGGAGCUCAAGCCUGAUGAAGAUGAGGGCUUGAAUCUUUUUAGCAAUCAUACUUCAGGUGAAGCGUGCCUUUUGAAGUGAAUGACAAUGUGUGGGACUUAAUCCCUGAGCUCAGAGCAAAAUUACACAUGCAUCGGAAAAAGGCUUUUGAGUGUCUAUGGCGGAAUAUUGCUGGAUCCUUGGUGCCAGCACUUAUGGAAAAAGCAUCUAAGAAGAUAGGCGGUUGUGUUAUCUCUCAUACUCCUGGAGCUGGAAAAACUUUUCUUAAGAUUGCAUUCCUUGUCAGCUACCUGAAGUUGUUUCCAGGAAAACGGCCUCUGGUCCUCGCUCCAAAGACAACUCUCUACACCUGGUACAAGGAAUUUAUCAAGUGGGAAAUUCCUGUUCCAGUUCUUCUUAUCCAUGGUACUAGAUCUUCUAGAGUCUUCAGGCAGACUCCAGUGGCACUUCGAGGAUCAUGUCCAAGGCCCAGCCAGGAUGUUGUGCAUAUUUUGGAUUGCCUGGAGAAAAUGCAAAAGUGGCAUGCACAACCAAGUGUGCUUGUCAUGGGCUAUACCUCAUUUCUGACAUUAAUGAGAGAAGAUUCAAAGUACAACCGCAGAAAAUAUAUGGCUAAAGUGCUGCGUGAGAGUCCUGGAAUGUUGGUACUAGAUGAAGGCCAUAACCCCAGGAGUACUAAAUCAAGGUUGAGAAAGGUUUUGAUGAAAGUGGAAACAGAUCUAAGAAUACUGCUUUCAGGUACUUUAUUUCAGAAUAAUUUCUGUGAAUAUUUCAAUACCCUUUGCCUGGCAAGACCAUUGUUUAUCAGAGAAGUUCUGAAGGCAUUAGACCCAAAGUUUAAGAGGAAAAAGAAAGGGGCACAAAAAGCACGCCAUUUCCUAGAAUCUCGGGCCAGAAAAUUCUUCAUAGAUAACAUUGCAAGCAAAAUCAAUUUGGACGAGGCUGAAGAGAAAAUGCAGGGUUUGAAUAUGCUGAGAAACAUGACUAAUGGAUUCAUUGAUGUAUAUGAAGGCACAGCUUCUGACACCCUUCCAGGUUUACAGAUUUACACCAUAAUGAUUAAUCCAACAGAUAUACAACAUGAGAUUUUGGUGAAACUCCACAAAAUUAUGGAAAAAUGCCCUGGAUACCCCCUGGAAGUAGAGCUUUUGAUAACCCUUGCUUCGAUACAUCCUUCCAUUAUCAAUUCUUCUGUCUGUGUAAAAAAGUUUUAUGAACAGGAGGAGCUGAUGGAACUUGAGAAGUUAAGGUUUGAUUGUAAAAAGGGGUCCAAAGUGAUGUUUGUUUUGAAUCUUGUAUAUCGUGUAGUCAAGAAGGACAAGGUUCUGAUCUUUUGCCACAACAUAGCACCCAUAAAAUUAUUCCUUGAACUGUUUGAGAAUGUCUUUAGAUGGCAGCUGGGUAAAGAAGUUCUUGUUCUUACAGGGGACCUAGAGCUGUUUGAAUGAGGAAGAGAUGGAUAAGUUUGAGGAAUUGGGAGGGCCUUUGAGGGUUUUGCUUGCAUCAAUUACGGCCUGUGCCAAGGGCAUAAGUUUGACAGCAGCAUCACGGGUAAUUCUAUUGGACUCGGAGUGGAAUCCUUCCAAGACAAAGCAGGCUAUUGCAAGAGCCUUUCGGCCUGGUCAACAGAAGAUGGUUUAUGUGUAUCAGCUUCUGGCAACAGGCACAGUUGAAGAAGACAAGUACCAUAGGACAGCAUGGAAGAAUUGGGUCUCACGCAUGAUAUUUAGUGAAGAAUCUGUGGAGGACCCUUCUCGUUGGCAGGCAGAAAAGAUUGAGGAUGAUGUAUUAAGGGAGAUAGUGGAGGAGGACCGGGUGAAGUCAUUCCAUAUGAUAAUGAAGAAUGAGAAGGCUUCAACAAGUUGAUUGGAGACUACCUUCAUUAUAAUAUAGUGUAAGAAACUGCCUGGUUUUGUUACAAUUUCCUUGUUUUUAUCUAAGCUUAAUCAUUUUAUCUGUUUUUCAUUAUACGUUAUUCAGGGCUUUUGAUAUUGCUUAUGCUUCUCUGGGGAUUUGAAGGUUCUAAUAAUUUCCGCAAUGAAGCUAACGGCAAAUAUAGUAACUUGCUGAGCCAUGUCUUAGCUAUUCAGAAAUCAGAAAAAGCUCCAUCCAUGUCCAGGAAGUUCUAGCAGUUUCUCUUCUCGGCAAGAUAAAUGCCGUCCAAAUGCUGUUUAGUUUAAUGAUCUGUUUAUUUUUGUGUCAUUCCAUUUCCAAGUGCUGUUAGGUUGAAGAAUCUGCCAAUCUGGUGGUGCCUUGAAACCUGCCUGCAUUGGCCGCAUUAUGGUAAUUACAUUUUAGCUUGAAAUACAAUUGUCUGAAUCAUCUCAUAAACUGCUAGGAAUUAAGGUUCUCUGUUUUGAUGCUUUCUGGGAUCACAUUUUACAUGGGACAUGAUUUCUUCCAAUAAUUGGGGAAUGCUUCUUGUAGUCAUUAAUUAUAUUUAUGAUUUUGCUUUGCAUCAGUAAUCAAUGAUUACCCAUAAAGCUUUCCAACUUCCUUUACUCAGACCCAUAAAACUGUAUGAAUGAUUACUUUUUUUAAAAAAAAAUGAAUAAUUUCAAUGAUCAUUGGCUUUGGUUUUAUCAUGUAGACUUGUUACAAGAAAGCCUCUUCUACUCUUCGGCUUUACUCCUUGGGCUUCGUAUAAUUAACUGGGUCGAGCUUUCUUUGUUUUCGAGAUUAAAAUUAAUGGGCAUCAGGCCAGCCGUCAUAUUUGGUCUAAAGGCGGCCAACACACGUAUGCUGGAACAUCACUGGAUCAAACCUCUUUUAAUUUGUGAGAUAUGAGCGUAUCGCUUGAACGGGACCUUCUUUAUCCAAAGGCACUGAACAAGGACUCGGGUGGAUACUUUGGUCUCGUUUAGUAUUGUUGCCAUGCUUUUUUAAAAAAAUUGAAUUUUUUAAAAAGUUUCAAAUUUUUUAUUUAUUUUUUGAUUGUUUGAUAUGUUUUCCUGUUGUUAAAAAUAAAUUUUAAAAAAUAAAAAUAUAUAUAUUAUUUUAAUAAUUUUUUAAAUAAAAAACACUUUAAAAAUUUAAUCCUGAUAAUCCCAAACACUACUUUUAAUAUUCAGUUAUCUAUUAUUGGGCCGAAAAGAUGUGGAGGUAUUGUGUGUUCUCUUUUUUUGUUUUAACAAAUAGCAACUCGAGACUUUUUAAGGGAGUUAAAUGUUAAAACUAGUUGAAUUAUAAUUGGUUCACAAUGUUUAUAUAUAUAUAUAUAUAUAUAUAUAUAUGCACCCGAGUUGUUUAAAUUAUCCAACUCAAUAGAUUGAAUAUGAUGUAUAUUAGGUAUAAAAACAAGGCAUAAAAAUCCUGUUUGUUUUUGUGUUUCAAAUAUAUUUUUAAAAAAAUUUGUAUUUUUGUAUUUUUUUUCUACUUUAAAUUAUUAUUUUUUAAGUAUUUUUAGAUUGUUUUGAUGAACUAAUGUUAAAAAUAAUUUUUAAAAAAUAAUAAAAAUAUUAUUUUAAUAUAUUUUUAAAUAAAAAAUACUAUAAAAAAUAAUUACUAACUCUAAAAGCAUCGGCAGGCACCACACUGCACUUUGACGCUGAAGUCUUCAAUAGGCCUUUAACAAGGCUUAAUUUUGUUCACUUUUUUUAAAGUAAAAAAUUCAGAUUCUUAAAGCAGUAUCAAGUACCAAAACCAUGGGCUGGGUUGGGUUGCGUUCAACAGAUUUUAAAAGUGUCAAGUGCCAAGAUUUCUGGCCCCUUCAAAGAUGACCUCGACUAGCAGCUCUUAGAAGCUUCUUCAAGCCAAACACACACCGGUAAGAGUAUAAUCCAAGUCGGCGAGCCUAAAAUAAACACGAAUUGCAACCUGAUUGUACAGAUUUAAAACUUCAACUCGGCUCUCUCACGUAUAAUCCACACCAAAUUCAUGUCCUCGACAAGGAAUUCCAUGGAUCCGUAUUUAGUAUAUUGGGCCAACGAGUCGACGUGGCUACUAUUCAGAUUGUAAUCUCUUAUCUCUCGUAUUGCUUGAUUGUUUUUUUUAGUCUGUUCGAGGAGAUUGGGUGAAUGUUCUUGCCACUGCAUACACUGCACGGCUUUCAAUUGGCAUUAGUAUAUGAAGAGUGGUGGGUGGGUUUUUUUUUUAUAUUUAUUUUUGGGUUGAGAUUUCUCGUUAACACUUAAUACAAGCUCUGAUUUAGUUGGAUGUUUAGGGUUUUGAAUGCCUGCGAAAAUAAAUAUUCUAACCUCUCUAGCUGAGGUUAAUAUAUAUAUACUAAACACUGCAAAAAAUUGGACUGGUCAUUACCAGGUUAAGAUUGAUUUGGCCCCUUGAUUAAUCUACACAAACUGUGGUUUUCUUCCAUUUGAAAAUACUUCAAGCCAAGGGAGAGAGAAGAAGUAAAAGUAAGUCAUCCUCGAACCCCUUCAUGAAAUGGAGCAGAUUAAUAACUAAUUAUUGCCACCCGUUCUUUAGAUAGUGUUUGAUACGUUGGACACUGUUAUUGGAUUAAACAGGAAUGAAUGGAACAUAUAUCUUGUCUUGUAUGUAGUGUGUAUUGGACUGAAUUUAACAAUUUAUUUUAUUUUGGUUUGAUAAACACUAGACGGAAACAGCUGACUCGGGAUUUGAACGGGAUCGGGUUUUAAAAAAUAAAGGAAUAAUUGAUUUGAUUUAACCAGGUUAAAAACCAGGUUCACCCGAGAUAAAACACGAGUAAAAAACCAUUGAUUUUUUCUGAAGUUUUUUUUUUGAAACUAGUCUACUUUGAUUUUUAUUUUAAUUUCGGUCAACUCAUGUUAACCUUGCAUGCCUGUAACUCAAGCUAUAUCCCGAAUCAAUUCUCGAGUCAAAUUUUAAAACUAUAAUGAUAAUAACUUUUAUUCGUACGUUGAUUUGGGUCAACCCGAGUUAGCCCUCUCGUACAGAAAAUCAAGUCUGGCCCCAUGUCGACUCUCAAGUCAGAUGUUAAAACUAUGAUAAUAAUCAUGUUUAUUCUAAUGUUGACUCGGGUUAAUGAUCAACACGACUCGCGACUUGAUUCUUG